UAAAGCAGGCGGGCGGUUGCGUUUGCAAAAGACCCUGAUGUUUUAAACGGAAGGUAAUUUGCGAAUGAGGAAAGUCCGAACACCCUAAGUACAAGAUUGCUUGGGAAAGCCAAGUGCGCGCGAGCGUGAGGAAAGUGCCACAGAAAAGUAAACUACGAGCGCAAGCCGGUGCGCAGGGCGAAAUGAUGAAUUUUGCCCGCAGCACUACGGAGAUAGCACAAGCCGGUGCGAAAGCACCGCAGCAAAGUUCGUACAGGUGCAACGGCGGAGUAAAAGCCCACCGCCCCGAUGGUGACAAAGGGGGCAUGGUAAACCCCAAUCGGGUGCAAGUUCAAGUUUGCAAGAAGAAUUGUACUUUUCGCUUCUUUUAAAGAAGAUUGCAAGAAAGAAACGCAUUAGACAGAUGAUCGCCUUAAACAGAAUUCGGCUUAUAGCCUGCUUUUUAUU
rnacentral:RNase_P_RNA from 1 species